GUCUACAGCCAUGGUACCCUGAACAAGCCUGAUCCCGUCUGAUCUUGGAAGCUAAGCAGAGUCGGGCCUGGUUAGUACUUGGAUGGGAGACCACUUAGGAAGACCAGGUGCUGUAGGCG
rfam:Pteropus alecto contig16816, whole genome shotgun sequence.